rnacentral:rRNA from 1 species
GAUGAACGCUGGCGGCGUGCUUAACACAUGCAAGUCGAGCGAAGCGCUUACGACAGAACCUUCGGGGGAAGAUGUAAGGGACUGAGCGGCGGACGGGUGAGUAACGCGUGGGUAACCUGCCUCAUACAGGGGGAUAACAGUUGGAAACGGCUGCUAAUACCGCAUAAGCGCACCGUAUCGCAUGAUACGGUGUGAAAAACUCCGGUGGUAUAGGAUGGACCCGCGUCUGAUUAGCUAGUUGGAGGGGUAACGGCCCACCAAGGCGACGAUCAGUAGCCGGGCUGAGAGGGUGAACGGCCACAUUGGGACUGAGACACGGCCCAGACUCCUACGGGAGGCAGCAGUGGGGAAUAUUGCACAAUGGGGGAAACCCUGAUGCAGCGACGCCGCGUGAAGGAAGAAGUAUCUAGGUAUGUAAACUUCUAUCAGCAGGGAAGAUAAUGACGGUACCUGACUAAGAAGCCCCGGCUAACUACGUG